CCCUUCUCAGGGUCGCAACUGGAGAGUUACCAGUACUCUACCAGUCUCGUCUGUGGGAGGGAGAGUCAGGCAUACCCAUUCCAUUCCUAGCUUGGGCAGUGGCUAGCGAGUGGAAGGCAAUCUGCUACAUCA